GUAGGUGAACCUGCGGAAGGAUCAUUACUGAACUGUCGACACGAGUUGUUGCUGGCCCCCGAAAGGGGGCAUGUGCACGCUCUGUUUACACAUCCACUCACACCUGUGCACCCUCUGUAGUUCUGUGGCCUUGGGGACUCCCGUCCUCUCGCUGCGGUCCUACGUCUUUACACACACACACCGUAGUACAGUCUCAUGGAAUGUAUGCCGCGUUUAACGCAAUACAAUUACAACUUUCAGCAACGGAUCU
rnacentral:misc_RNA from 1 species